rnacentral:rRNA from 1 species
UACGUAGGGUGCAAGCGUUGUCCGGAAUUAUUGGGCGUAAAGAGCUCGUAGGCGGUCUGUCGCGUCGGCUGUGAAAUCCCGGAGCUCAACUCCGGGUCUGCAGUCGAUACGGGCAAACUGGAGUACUGCAGGGGAGACUGGAAUUCCUGGUGUAGCGGUGAAAUUCGUAGAUAUUGGGUGGAACACCGGUGGCGAAAGCGGCUCUCUGGUCCGGACCUGACGCUGAGGCGCGAAAGCGUGGGGAGCAAACAGG